rnacentral:rRNA from 1 species
UACGUAGGGGGCUAGCGUUGUCCGGAAUCAUUGGGCGUAAAGCGCGUGUAGGCGGCCCGGUAAGUCCGCUGUGAAAGUCGGGGGCUCAACCCUCGAAAGCCGGUGGAUACUGUCGGGCUCGAGUGCGGAAGAGGCGAGUGGAAUUCCUGGUGUAGCGGUGAAAUGCGCAGAUAUCGGGAGGAACACCUAUGGCGAAGGCAGCUCGCUGGGACGUUACUGACGCUGAGACGCGAAAGCGUGGGGAGCAAACAGG